rnacentral:sRNA from 1 species
UAAACUAACCAUAUUUUGUACUUACCUUAACUAAUCGGAGGAGCAUUGACAAAACUGCCGAAGACGAUGAACAUUGAUCGAGAAAAUGUAAAUUAGUUUUUUUUUACUGGAUUUGGGAAACUGUAAAGUCGUGGGAGAGAUGAAGGUAAAUUGGUGAGAGUCAACUGCAUUUGGUUUAGGAAAAAUGGGUUUGGUUUGAUUUACAGAUCAAAAAUCGGUUUUAAGGUAUAAUAGUAAAUUUGAGAAUGCAAAGUGUCUGGUCCUUUUUAAGUGUUGUAACACGUUAAAUGUUUUUAAAAAAGUGUCUUAGAGGGCAAUAUUCUCUAAAUACGAAAUACUUGAGUAUAAAUAAUAGGAACAAUUACGCUUUAACAUACUUUUUAAACUUCAUUUACAUUUUCCCACACUUUUAACUUUUGAAGUUUUUUACCCUUGUGUUAUUACCCCUAUACCCCCAACUAAAGACCAUACCCCUCUCUCUCUUUCUAGAAUUCAUGUCAUAUGCAGCCAUUGGGCCAUUAUCCUCGGCAAAUUUCGUUACCAAUGAUGAUUUACCAACCCUAACAAAAUAAAAAAAACAAUUCAAUUAAGAUGAUAUAUAUGAAAAACAACAAUGCGUAAGAAAAGAGAAUAGAAAAAAACUAUGAUGUCAAAGAAAAAAUCAUAGAAAGAAUGGAUAAUUUACCCUUCAGGCGUUUGAACUAGGCUGAGACGAUGAGUAUUAAUCUUGAGAAGAAUUUUAAGGACUAGAGAGAUCUUACGAAAAAAUAAACUAGAAAGAUCUUACAAACAAACUAGAAAGAAAAAAAAAUCUCUACAUCUAAGAAGAUGAAAAAAUGUGAGAUGACAUAGGGAACCGUGACACUCUCUUUUCCUUUUAUUAUUAGUGUGGUGUUAGAACCCUUUUUCUUCUUUUAUUA